UACGGAGGGUGCAAGCGUUAUCCGGAUUCACUGGGCUUAAAGGGUGCGUAGGUGGCCAGGUAAGUCAGCGGUGAAAUCCCCGAGCUUAACUUGGGAACUGCCAUUGAUACUAUCUGUCUUGAAUACCUUGGAGGUGAGCGGAAUAUGUCAUGUAGCGGUGAAAUGCUUAGAUAUGACAUAGAACACCAAUUGCGAAGGCAGCUCACUACACGGUCAUUGACACUGAGGCACGAAAGCGUGGGGAUCAAACAGG
rnacentral:rRNA from 1 species